UACGUAGGUGACCAGCGUUGUCCGGAUUACUGGGCGUAAAGAGCGCGCAGGCGGUCGUUCAAGUCGAGUGUGAAAGCCCCCGGCUCAACUGGGGAGGGUCACUCGAUACUGAUCGACUGGAAGGCAGGAGAGGGAAGCGGAAUUCCCGGUGUAGUGGUGAAAUGCGUAGAUAUCGGGAGGAACACCAGUGGCGAAGGCGGCUUUCUGGCCUGUUCUUGACGCUGAGGCGCGAAAGCUAGGGUAGCAAACGGG
rnacentral:rRNA from 1 species